UAAGAAAAGCUUGCUUUUCUUGAUGACGAGUGGCGGACGGGUGAGUAAGAUUUGGGAAACUACCUGAUAGAGGGGGACAACAGUUGGAAACGACUGCUAAUACCGCAUACAGCCUCAGGGUGAAAGAAGAAAUUCGCUAUCAGAUGUGCCCAAACGGGAUUAGCUAGUAGGUGAGGUAAAGGCUCACCUAGGCGACGAUCUCUAGCUGGUCUGAGAGGAUGAUCAGCCACAUUGGGACUGAGACACGGCCCAGACUCCUACGGGAGGCAGCAGUAGGGAAUAUUGCACAAUGGAGGAAACUCUGAUGCAGCCAUGCCGCGUGUGUGAAGAAGGCCUUCGGGUUGUAAAGCACUUUCGGAGGGGAGGAAGUAAAUGACGUUA
rnacentral:rRNA from 1 species